CGUCGAACGCUGGCGGCGUGCCUAAUACAUGCAAGUAGAACGCUGAAGAGAGGAGCUUGCUCUUCUUGGAUGAGUUGCGAACGGGUGAGUAACGCGUAGGUAACCUGCCUGGUAGCGGGGGAUAACUAUUGGAAACGAUAGCUAAUACCGCAUAAAAUUGAUUAUUGCAUGAUAAUUAAUUGAAAGAUGCAACUGCAUCACUACCAGAUGGACCUGCGUUGUAUUAGCUAGUUGGUAAGGUAACGGCUUACCAAGGCAACGAUGCGUAGCCGACCUGAGAGGGUGAUCGGCCACACUGGAACUGAGACACGGUCCAGACUCCUACGGGAGGCAGCAGUAGGGAAUCUUCCGCAAUGGGCGAAAGCCUGACGGAGCAACGCCGCGUGAGUGAUGAAGGUCUUCGGAUCGUAAAACUCUGUUAUUAGGGAAGAAUAAAUGUGUAAGUAACUAUGCACGUCUUGACGGUACCUAAUCAGAAAGCCACGGCUAACUACGUGCCAGCAGCCGCGGUAAUACGUAGGUGGCAAGCGUUAUCCGGAAUUAUUGGGCGUAAAGCGCGCGUAGGCGGUUUUUUAAGUCUGAUGUGAAAGCCCACGGCUCAACCGUGGAGGGUCAUUGGAAACUGGAAAACUUGAGUGCAGAAGAGGAAAGUGGAAUUCCAUGUGUAGCGGUGAAAUGCGCAGAGAUAUGGAGGAACACCAGUGGCGAAGGCGACUUUCUGGUCUGUAACUGACGCUGAUGUGCGAAAGCGUGGGGAUCAAACAGGAUUAGAUACCCUGGUAGUCCACGCCGUAAACGAUGAGUGCUAAGUGUUAGGGGGUUUCCGCCCCUUAGUGCUGCAGCUAACGCAUUAAGCACUCCGCCUGGGGAGUACGACCGCAAGGUUGAAACUCAAAGGAAUUGACGGGGACCCGCACAAGCGGUGGAGCAUGUGGUUUAAUUCGAAGNCACGCGAAGAACCUUACCAAAUCUUGACAUCCUCUGACCCCUCUAGAGAUAGAGUUUUCCCCUUCGGGGGACAGAGUGACAGGUGGUGCAUGGUUGUCGUCAGCUCGUGUCGUGAGAUGUUGGGUUAAGUCCCGCAACGAGCGCAACCCUUAAGCUUAGUUGCCAUCAUUAAGUUGGGCACUCUAAGUUGACUGCCGGUGACAAACCGGAGGAAGGUGGGGAUGACGUCAAAUCAUCAUGCCCCUUAUGAUUUGGGCUACACACGUGCUACAAUGGACAAUACAAAGGGCAGCGAAACCGCGAGGUCAAGCAAAUCCCAUAAAGUUGUUCUCAGUUCGGAUUGUAGUCUGCAACUCGACUAUAUGAAGCUGGAAUCGCUAGUAAUCGUAGAUCAGCAUGCUACGGUGAAUACGUUCCCGGGUCU
rnacentral:rRNA from 1 species